AUACAUGAUAAUCAUUAUUGAAUCACCAAACCAAAUUAGAAAAGAAAUCAAUACAGUUUACUCACUGGGAGCCUAAACCCAACCUUUCCCUAACCACCUCCAACAAACUUCACCCACACCUCAUUACCCAUAACACUUCAUCACGCAUCAUACGAACACCACCAUUCUGUUAGAAAACCUGAUGACUCCAACAAAAUUGAAUCCCAUCACUCACNAUUGAUCAAUUCUUCUCUUCACCACCAACAGAUUCCAUUUUUUUUCAUCUAUCUUCAUUCCCACCAAACCUCACGACCCUCAACCGGCAGUGAACAAAAAUGAAAAGCCACCAAGAACAGAAACCUAUUUUUUUUCCUAAAAUGAAUCUCUCCAUUCUUUAUCAACAUCGGCAACCCGUAGUCUUCAUCUUCAUCUUCCUCCAUCAACACCUCAAUUUCUGAAACAAAACACCUUCCAUUUCCCACGUUCAUGGGAUAAUUUCAAAGCACCCUCUCAAUCCAAAAUCACAAACAUAUUAUUCCUCAUCGUCCCAGCAAAUAGAAAAAAAAUAGAUAUUCAUCUCUUUUAUUUCUGCCCAAGCUUCAUCUCUUUCGUCAACAUCGACAACCUAUCACCACCAUUUUAACCAAAAUUCCAUCCCUUACCGCAACAAUUGCAACCAUAACCAAAGACUCAAAUCAAUUUUGUGGCAGAGGAGAAGUGCAUCGANGCCUUGCUCCUAUGAGAAAAUAAGAAACAAAUAUCAGAGGAAGAAGGGAUUGGUGCAGCGGUGGCCGUCGACGUUGACUGCGUUCUGGCCUGCAUCUGGUGGCGACCAGCCCAGUAGAGAGGAACAUUGCGCCAUCGGCUCUUGGCAACAUUGGCGGCGGGCUUGACGGUGACGGCAGUGGGCUCGACGGAAGUCGACCACCUUGACUUGGCUCAAUGACGGGAAAACCNUUGUGGUAGUUAGCGAUGUUUCCAGUGGCAAGUGGUAUCGUUGGCGUUGCCUCAGGCUGUGGCUCUCAAUGAACGAUCUCAGAAGUGGAAACGGUGGCACCCAGAUGCAGCGGCGACGGGAGAUGCCUGGCGGCGGCAGUGUUUCUCCCCUGCGUGUGAAAAAGACCGAGAGAGAGGAAGAGGGUCGCGAAGGGCAGCAACGCUUUCAACGUUG
rnacentral:lncRNA from 1 species